AUUCAGCUGACAAGUCCCGAACAGAAUGAAAUGCGCGUUCUGGAU
rnacentral:hammerhead_ribozyme from 1 species